rnacentral:rRNA from 1 species
ACGUACACUCCUACGGGAGGCAGCAGUGGGGAAUAUUGGACAAUGGGCGCAAGCCUGAUCCAGCCAUGCCGCGUGAGUGAUGAAGGCCCUAGGGUUGUAAAGCUCUUUCACCGGUGAAGAUAAUGACGGUAACCGGAGAAGAAGCCCCGGCUAACUUCGUGCCAGCAGCCGCGGUAAUACGAAGGGGGCUAGCGUUGUUCGGAUUUACUGGGCGUAAAGCGCACGUAGGCGGACUAUUAAGUCAGGGGUGAAAUCCCGGGGCUCAACCCCGGAACUGCCUUUGAUACUGGUAGUCUUGAGUCCGAGAGAGGUGAGUGGAAUUCCGAGUGUAGAGGUGAAAUUCGUAGAUAUUCGGAGGAACACCAGUGGCGAAGGCGGCUCACUGGCUCGAUACUGACGCUGAGGUGCGAAAGCGUGGGGAGCAAACAGGAUUAGAAACCCGUGUAGUCCCAUGA